rnacentral:rRNA from 1 species
GAUGAACGCUGGCGGCGUGCCUAAUACAUGCAAGUCGAGCGAACAGACGAGGAGCUUGCUCCUCUGACGUUAGCGGCGGACGGGUGAGUAACACGUGGAUAACCUACCUAUAAGACUGGGAUAACUUCGGGAAACCGGAGCUAAUACCGGAUAAUAUAUUGAACCGCAUGGUUCAAUAGUGAAAGACGGUUUUGCUGUCACUUAUAGAUGGAUCCGCGCCGCAUUAGCUAGUUGGUAAGGUAACGGCUUACCAAGGCAACGAUGCGUAGCCGACCUGAGAGGGUGAUCGGCCACACUGGAACUGAGACACGGUCCAGACUCAGACGGGAGGCAGCAGUAGGGAAGCUGCCGCAAUGGGCGAAAGCCUGACGGAGCAACGCCGAGUGAGUGAUGAAGGUCUUCGGAUCGUAAAACUCUGUUAUUAGGGAAGAACAAAUGUGUAAGUAACUAUGCACGUCUGGACGGUACCUAAUCAGAAAGCCACGGCUAACUACGG